GCGAGAAUAUUCGACAAUGGACGAAAGUCUGAUCGAGCGACGCCGCGUGAUGGAUGAAGUCCUUCGGGACGUAAACAUCUUUUGGGAGGGACGAAGUAAUUGACGGUACCUCCAGAAUAAGGGGCUCCUAACUCUGUGCCAGCAGGAGCGGUAAUACAGAGGCCCCAAGCGUUACCCGGAAUUACUGGGCGUAAAGGAUGCGUAGGUGGCGUUGUUAGUCCUUCGUUAAAUACUUCGUGCUCAACACGAAGAUCGCGAGGGAAACGGCAAUGCUUGAGGAUGUAAUAGGCGUGCGGAACUCAUGGUGUAGGGAUUAAAUCCGUUGAUAUCAUGGGGAACACCAAAAGCGAAGGCAGCACGCUGGGACAUUCCUGACACUGAGGCAUGAAAGCGUAGGUAGCGAACGGGAUUAGAUACCCGCGUAGUCC
rnacentral:rRNA from 1 species